GAUGAAGAACGUAGUGAAAUGCGAUAAGUAAUGUGAAUUGCAGAAUUCAGUGAAUCAUCGAAUCUUUGAACGCACCUUGCGCUCCUUGGUAUUCCGAGGAGCAUGCCUGUUUGAGUGUCAUUAAAUUCUCAAUCCUCUCUGGGUUUUUUCUCAGUUAGGAUUGGAUAAUGGGGGCUUUGCUGGCUUGAAUAAGGUCAGCUCUCCUAAAAUAUAUUAGCAAGACUCUUGUUGCAGCCUUCUAUUAUGGUGUGAUAAUUAUCUACAUCAUAGAUUGCAUGCAGUAAAAAAAAUGUCAGGCUUCUAACAGUCCAUUGACUUGGACAAACUAAUUGACAAAUUUGACCUCAAAUCAGGUAGGACUACCCGCUGAACUUAAGCAUAUCAAUAAGCGGAGGA
rnacentral:misc_RNA from 1 species